GUUCACUUCAGCAGCACAUAUACUAUAAUUGGAACAAUACAGAGAAGAUUCACAUGGCCCCCGCACCAGGAUGAUGCACAAAUACAUGUAGUCUUCCAUAUUUUU